UACGGAGGGUGCAAGCGUUAUCCGGAUUCACUGGGUUUAAAGGGUGCGUAGGCGGACAGGUAAGUCCGUGGUGAAAUCUCUGAGCUUAACUCAGAAACUGCCAUGGAUACUAUUUGUCUUGAAUACUGUGGAGGUAAGCGGAAUAUGUCAUGUAGCGGUGAAAUGCUUAGAUAUGACAUGGAACACCAAUUGCGAAGGCAGCUUACUACACAGCUAUUGACGCUGAGGCACGAAAGCGUGGGGAUCAAACAGG
rnacentral:rRNA from 1 species